UAUUGAACGCUGGCGGAAUGCUUUACACAUGCAAGUCGAACGGUAGAGGGGGCAACCCCUCGAGAGUGGCGAACGGGUGAGUAAUAUAUCGGAACGUGCCCAGUCGUGGGGAUAACGUAGCGAAAGUUACGCUAAUACCGCAUACGAUCUACGGAUGAAAGCGGGGGACUCGCAAGAGCCUCGCGCGAUUGGAGCGGCCGAUAUCAGAUUAGGUAGUUGGUGGGGUAAAGGCUCACCAAGCCAACGAUCUGUAGCUGGUCUGAGAGGACGACCAGCCACACUGGAACUGAGACACGGUCCAGACUCCUACGGGAGGCAGCAGUGGGGAAUUUUGGACAAUGGGGGCAACCCUGAUCCAGCCAUGCCGCGUGAGUGAAGAAGGCCUUCGGGUUGUAAAGCUCUUUCAGACGGAAAGAAAACGCAUCGGUGAAUACCCGAUGUGGAUGACGGUACCGUAAGAAGAAGCACCGGCUAACUACGUG
rnacentral:rRNA from 1 species